CCUCCUGUGUUGUAAAGAAGGGGGAGAGGAAGGAGUCAGAAGCGUGGUACUAAAGAGCCCCAAGGAGACUAUCAAAUGGCAGAUCUUGGGUGGAGGAAAGCACUCUAGCAUACAGAGAACAUGGAAAAAGCUGAGAAGCUGAGGCCAGCUCAGUCCUUGCCUUUUCUGUGUCGUUCUCCAAGGAGCAAUCCAGAGCACAGAGCAGUUCUGCUGAGAAAAUCUGUGUCCGUCUCUGAACUGGUUGCCAGGGUCUUUGGAGAAAGCUGAAAGUGCACUCCCCACAGCAAGGAGAAGAAGGAAGGUGGAUUCUUCUGCAAAGGUCUCACUCAUCACUGGUUUCAUAUUAGGUACCAGAGCAUCCUGGACUGUGAAAGCAGCAUGUCUAAACAAGAACAUCCCAAGCUCAUGGAGAGAAGACAUCUAUCACAGAUUAAUGUCAGUCCAAUGGGGAAAAGCUAUGCCUUUUCUCAAAGUCAUCCCACUGAUACGUGCUCAAGCAAGUCCAUGGAAGAUCUUCCCAUCCCCAACAUCAGUGCCCCAGCAAGAAAUCUCAAAGGACUCCUGACCAGCUUUGACACACCUAAAGCCACUCCACGGUGUAAGAGUUUACAUUCUGCUUCACUGAACACACCAUCUCCCAGUGGCAUUUUAAGGAAGAGAGAGGCUGAUGCCAGAAUCAUGACAACAAUCCAACCCCUGGGCAUGGAGACCAAACUUCAUAAAGACCCAUCCUUCCCUUCCUCUCUUAAGAGCAUCCAGAGGAAGGCACAAAGGAGUCCUGCCACCAUCAAUUGGAAGGAGUCUACUGCAAAGGAAGGGAAGCUGUCCCACCACAAGCAGGCGAUCAUCUCCUCAGUGCUGGAUACAGAUGAUGACUCAGUCACUGGUAAAAGCUAUGAGAGGACGCGGUCAUUUUUAGACACACCAGACAACACCAGCCACAUACUUCACCAAGGACGAGGGAGGUCCUCUGCACCCUCCGUGAAGGAGCUGUUGGCUCUCUAUCUCUCCCAGACAGCUGCUGCUGCUGCUCACGCCGGCAGCCCUGCACAGCCGAGCACUGUGAAGGACAACUGCAUUCAAUCUGCCCAUAGACAGAAAAAAAGCAAGCUUGCAAAACUAUGCUGCCCUCCAUGGAGUGUUUUACUGCCAAGUCCACUACAAGCAGAUGGCUGGAGCUAAAAGCAGAAGUGGGAUGGAAAGGCUGGAGCACCAGCUAGGAGACCAUCAGGUUCAGCAAGUGGCAAUGGUAGGCAGAGGACCACAGCCCCGGGACUGGUACAACGGGGCCAAAAAGAAGACUGAAAGAGAGAAACCCACAUCCUUCAAUGCACAGUGCAGCUUGCGGCUGGCUGAGCACAGGCAAGAGCUGAACAGGACAUGACGGUGGCUGAGGAGUAGGAGGGAAAACCAUGAGCCACACACAACAGGGUAAGGUGGAAGACUUCAGCUUUGUCGCACACUGAUGGAAAAGGCACCUACUCCCUGUUUGUCAGGACAGGGUCAAAAUGUUUCUGCCACAGUGGAUCUCCUUGGCCAAGUCAUCCCACGACAUGGCCAGAGGUGGUUUUAGGGUAAAAGGAACCUCUGGAGGUUGCUUAGCUCAACCUGCUGUUCAAGGCAUGUCUCUGAAUAAUAGCAAGUCCUCUCAUUCAAGGAUGUGGAUCUGGAGGCAAGUGGCACUUUUGACCAUGUAUGUGAUGCAAGCAUAUGAUACAUGCACAUCACUGGUGCAAAUUUACACAACUCUAAGUAAACUUUACUCCUCUCUUCCUUUACUCCCAAUAGCA